GUGCUUGCUUCAGCAGCACAUAUAUUAAAAUUGGAACAUUACAGAGAAGAUUAGCAUGGUCCCUGUGCAAGGAUGACAUGAAAAUUCAUGAAGUGUUCCAUACAAAA
ensembl:snRNA U6 U6 spliceosomal RNA